UACAGAGGGGGCAAGCGUUAUUCGGAAUUAUUGGGCGUAAAGGGCGCGUAGGCGGCUUUGCAAGUGACGGGUGAAAUCCCUCGGCUUAACCGAGGAACUGCCUGUCAGACUGCAUUGCUUGAGUCCGGGAGAGGUGAGUGGAAUUCCCAGUGUAGCGGUGAAAUGCGUAGAUAUUGGGAGGAACACCAGUGGCGAAGGCGGCGCACUGGACCGGAACUGACGCUGAGGCGCGAAAGCUAGGGGAGCAAACGGG
rnacentral:rRNA from 1 species